AAAGCUUUCGUAGCUUUUUAACUAUUGUUUCCUGUUGGGGUGUGAUAUUGUGAUGUUCAAACUAAUCACUUCUGAGGAGCAUUUGUGAAUUUCCAGAGUACGAAAGAAAAGUCACUGCAGUAGGUGACUCAAUUCCACGUCUGAUUUUGCUAAAAUGCUGUCCAAGCUAGUGGGAAAAAAUAGUGGGCAUUUGGUAUCAGUUUUAUAAUUGGGUUUUUCCAUAUUAGAAUGGGAAUUUUGUGAAGACUCAAUUAAAAGGAGUGUCCUCCUAUUCUUCUGUCACCCAUCAGACUGAGUUGCACACGAAUGCCAGCAUGCUGUCAUACAUACUCUUCUCUUGUUUGCUGCUCUCUGUGCAAGCACAGAAUUGCAAUGUCCGUGACAUUAUCCGGUACACAAAACGCCUGCUUGAUGAAAGUUCUGAAAGUUGCCCAUGUAAGGAGACUGCUGUCAGUUCAUGUUCAUGUCUUCCCAUUGCUGAGCCUGGCCAUGAAUUGGCGUGCUUUGUGGAAGGAACCGAACACAUGCUGAAAAACAACGUAUCUUCAAACGCGGUGAUCACAAGGCUUAACCGAACCUUUCAGACUCAGCUGGAUAGAAACCUCUGCGAA